GCCGCCAACACCCACCCCCCCCCCCCUUCUCUUCUCUGAUCUCCCCCUAAAUCGGCGACCGAAUGGAGGAGGCGCCGCCGCUCACGGCAGCGGUGGUGGCACACGGUGGCUGAAGCAGAUCGAAGAAAUAUGAGAGAGAGAGGGAGAAGGGAGGAGAGGAGAGAGAGAGGAGAACCGGUAGAUGGCGACGAACUGCCGUCUGCGGCGAAGCCGCGGCGGCGCUGAUGGUGGUUGAUUGACGACGGAGCCACGGUGGUGGUUGCACGAUGUUCUGUUGACGUGAAGACAUAGAGGUGAUGACGGCUGACCGGCGUCCGAACCGCCACACACGGCGGAAUGGCGGUGGUCCUCUCAGUCCGACAAGUUCACGAUAGAGUUGAUUGGUGUUGCUGUUGAUGAUGAUUCGGCGGUGGUGGUGGUGGUCGACGACUGCUCGGGGCGGUCGGAGCCACACCGACACCGGAGACACCAGGUGGUGGUGAUGAUUAUGGCAGUCUGAAUUUUUGUUCAGAUUUGAUGCAAGAUCGGGUGCACAUUGGGUCGGUUGGAUCUCGGUCAGGCACGGGUGGUUCGGUUCAGUCAAGUCGGGUCACGGUCCACUAGGUCAGAUUUGGCAUCGGUCUCAAGGCGUGGUACGAGUCAACUCAGCUGCGUUUCGGGUCAAACCCGGUUGACUCGGUCAACACCUGAGUCAACUCGGGUCAACAAAAGUCAACAGAAGUCAAGGAUGGUCAACUCAAAGACCAGGUAAAGAUUUAAACGCGCGAAAGUUUUGUUUAUAUUGUUCGACACUUUAUAGUUACGCGAACCGAGCUCGAACCAUCGUUAUACGUUUAGUGAUUUAUUUAUGUUUAGUCAUUUUAACAAAACUAUAUAUUGUCAAUUACAAAGCAUUGAAUUAUUGUUGAAUUUUGAAAAAAAUAAAUCGACACUUAGUUGUCGGGACCCUUCAAAAACAGGGGAAACUCUGCCCGUUUUUUGAGAAAAAAAACCAUAAACGAAAAGUAUUUUAUAAAGCGAACGUUACGGAUUCAAAUUAAAUUACGAAACAAUGUGUUUUAUUGAAAAAGGGUAACUAACGACAUCAAGCGACUUUUACGACGAUCAAUAUAAAUACAUAUAUUUACUUUCGACGACACUACAUAACUUACAAAGUAUGGUUAUCACAUUUCGACAAAACCAUUUUACGAGAUAACUAAACUUGAUAGCUUUAUAAAAUAAAUAUAUUUAGAUAUAUUUAUUUCCAAACACAACAAUCCGGAUAUCUUUUAUAAAAACCAUAACUAUUUAUAUUUGGUUUAAACAUUUAAGAUUUGACAAUGCUUUUAUA
rnacentral:lncRNA from 1 species